rnacentral:lncRNA from 1 species
ACAAAUAUAACUUGUAAAAAUUAUAAAACAAAAUAAAAGUAAAGUCACACGCACUAGCAAAAGCAAAGUAACAUAACGCCAAGUUACCAACAAUUUGCAAAGUCACCCAAAAGCAAAACAACAUAACGCCAAGUCACCAACAAUUUGCAAACAAAAAACCCUAGGCUUCUCCGUCGUCACAGGCACUAGCAACACCCAAUAUUGGUUCGAUACACUCUCGACACCGAUUUGAAGGACGUUGGCCGCGUGAUUCCAGCGAGAGCAAGCCAUCUUCUUCCCCAAGUUCAUCGAGCCACUUCACAAUCACUGGUUCCAGCCAAACAAUUGCACUAUCACAACCUUCAAGAUCGCCACCCGUACUUCUCCUAAUUCCCAUCGUUGAUGGCUCCAUAAUCACCACUUUUCGACAAGUGUAAUAGCCCUGGUGAAGGAUCAAACUGUGUUUGGUUUCAGAAACUUGGCCAUUUCAAUUAAUUGUGGCUUUAUUUGAAAAAUUAAUUUUGGUAUUAUAUUAAUGUAUUAUUGUAAUUUUAUUUGAACAAUUAAUCUUAGUGUGUUAUGUUUUGAAACUUUAAACGUAUUAUUGUAGGUUUAUAUGAACACUUAAUCUCGAUGUGCUAUAUUUUGAAACUUUGAAUGUAUUAUUUUAGUUUUAUUUAAACAAUUAAUUUGUUUAAAUUUUAUUCAAUUUUAAAUUUAAUUGGUAGUAAAAUUAUUUUUAUAUUAGAUUUUUUUUAAUUUCAUUAGUUCAUGGAUUGGGGAGAACUAAAAAUUUUUAAUUCGGAAACAAAUGCGUAAAAUGGUGGAUUGGAUAUAGAUUAAGUUAAAUCCGCAUCCAAUCCGCAGACGUAUGGAUUGGAUAUGGAUUGAGUCAAAUCUGCAUCCGAUCCACAGACGUAUGGAUUGGAUUUGGAUUGAGUUUAAUCAAUCCGUGGAUUGGAUUUAAAAAUUAUAAUCCGCAAAAUUGUAGAUCAUAUAUGAAUUGAUGUUAAUCCGUAAAAUCCGAUCCGCGAACACCCCUACUACACUAUACGUGCAUUUGACAAUUUGUAUUAUAUUAUAUUGUAUUGUAUUAAAACUUUGUUCUAAAUACUAACUAGGCAACCCAAGAGGGGGGUGAAUUAGGAUAUUAAAUAUUAUUCAAUUCUAAAACAAAACUCAAUGCAAAUCCAAAACUAAUUUAAAGCAAUAACAAAUAAAUCAAUCACAAUAUAAAAAGAUAAGGAAAGAGAGAGCAAACACAAUGAUUUUUACGUAGUUCAGCAACCCUCGCCUACGUCCAUGUCUCCAAGCUCACCAGGCUUGAGGAUUUCACUAAGCUAGCCUCCUAAGGCUUCAAACGCUUACAAUUGACUUCCAAGGUAUCAAUAGACCUUUACAACAAGAGAUUAUCCACAAUCUCUUAAUCCAAGUGUAUCCCAACACUUACAAUCUCUCAAGGAUAAAGAUUACAAAUGAAUUUUCUCUCACACAAUGUGUUUGAUUACAAAUGAAUGCUCAGUGUGUGAAUCAAAGAAACAAAAACAAGUUCAAAGCUCAAUAAUAAUUUUAUGCUCAAUAGCAAGCUCAAUGAUAACUCUUGGAUCUCCCUUUGUUUGAAUUGGAUUGAGCUUAUUUAUAGUUGGAGCUGAAAACUAGCCGCUAUUGACUUUCUGCUCACUAUCGGAUUGCAGUUAACUAGAUGUCGGAUCGCCGUUAGUGCCCAACGGUCAAUAUGACCGUUGGGCUGGAUUUUCAAAUUGUCGGAUCGCCGUUUUCUACAGUGACUGCUACAUUGAACUAUUUUUGUAAAAUUACAGUUUGGCCCCAAACUUCAUAAAAUUAUACUAUGACCCAAAUCAUCAUAAAACUUUACAAAUAAGUCCAUUUCCAGAGUUUCAAAACUUUUUUAAAUUUAGACCAUUAAUUGAAAAUAACCAAUUUCAUGAAAUCAUUUUUUCAUUAAGUAUAAAACAUUUAUAUUAUGAAAAUAAUGAUUUAUUUAAAAUAAUUUGAGCUUUUAAAAACUUAAUCAUUCUUAAUCUUGUUUGUUAUCAUCAAAAUCAACAUUAUGGAUAUAUAUAUGCUAACAUGUUCUUGUGUAACUCAUGUUUCACCUGCAAUUUUUGGUUACAUUAUACUGCAUUAUAAAGGUGGCUAAUACAAUAAGAGAUGUAUUAAAUAAAUAUGGAGCAUAGGGUUUAGAAUGUAUUGUAAUAAAGUAGAAGCGAAGCUAAAUGGUGGCUAACCUGAGCUGUAGCUCGGGUAAGAUUUUUGGAAAUAAUUUGUUACUUAAUUACACAAAUUCCCUAGUUUGCAUGCCUGAUUUGAAAAUUUCAAGCAAGACCCUGUAAUUGAAGAAAACCUUCCUAAUUGGAAUGAAUUGUUGGUUUAUCUCAAAUGUGUCAUGAACCUUAAUAAUAAUUAAAAAAAUUUAGCCCACCCUAAAAAAUGGUGUUAGCUUUGCCCCUGCAAUAAAGCACAUUUCAUAUUUUAAAUACAAUCAUUUAACUUCUA